UGCAAGUCGAGCGGAACGAGUUAACUGAACCUUCGGGGGACGUUAACGGCGUCGCAGCGGCGGACGGGUGAGUAAUGCCUAGGAAAUUGCCCUGAUGUGGGGGAUAACCAUUGGAAACGAUGGCUAAUACCGCAUGAUGCCUACGGGCCAAAGAGGGGGACCUUCGGGCCUCUCGCGUCAGGAUAUGCCUAGGUGGGAUUAGCUAGUUGGUGAGGUAAGGGCUCACCAAGGCGACGAUCCCUAGCUGGUCUGAGAGGAUGAUCAGCCACACUGGAACUGAGACACGGUCCAGACUCCUACGGGAGGCAGCAGUGGGGAAUAUUGCACAAUGGGCGCAAGCCUGAUGCAGCCAUGCCGCGUGUGUGAAGAAGGCCUUCGGGUUGUAAAGCACUUUCAGUCGUGAGGAAGGUUUAGUCGUUAAUAGCUGCAUUAUUUGACGUUAGCGACAGAAGAAGCACCGGCUAACUCCGUGCCAGCAGCCGCGGUAAUACGGAGGGUGCGAGCGUUAAUCGGAAUUACUGGGCGUAAAGCGCAUGCAGGUGGUUUGUUAAGUCAGAUGUGAAAGCCCGGGGCUCAACCUCGGAAUAGCAUUUGAAACUGGGAGACUAGAGUACUGGGGGAGGGGGCGUAGAAUUUCAGGUGU
rnacentral:rRNA from 1 species